rnacentral:rRNA from 1 species
GACGAACGCUGGCGGCGUGCCUAAUACAUGCAAGUCGAACGCAUUUUCUUUCACCGUAGCUUGCUACACCGAAAGAAAAUGAGUGGCGAACGGGUGAGUAACACGUGGGUAACCUGCCCAUCAGCGGGGGAUAACACUUGGAAACAGGUGCUAAUACCGCAUAAUUCCAUUUACCGCAUGGUAGAUGGAUGAAAGGCGCUUUUGCGUCACUGAUGGAUGGACCCGCGGUGCAUUAGCUAGUUGGUGGGGUAACGGCCUACCAAGGCUGCGAUGCAUAGCCGACCUGGGAGGGUGAUCGGCCACACUGGGACUGAGACACGGCCCAGACUCCUACGGGAGGCAGCAGUAGGGAAUCUUCGGCAAUGGACACAAGUCUGACCGAGCAACGCCGCGUGAGUGAAGAAGGUUGUCGGAUCGUAAAACUCUGUUGUUAGAGAAGAACAAGGAUGAGAGUGGAAAGUUCAUCCCUUGACGGUAGCUAAACAGAAAGCCACGGCUAACUACGUG